rnacentral:tRNA from 2 species
GGAAGGGUGGCAGAGUGGUCGAUCGCGGCGGUCUUGAAAACCGUUAGGCCGAAAGGUCUCGGGGGUUCGAAUCCCUCCCCUUCCGCCA